ensembl:lncRNA
CGGGCGCAGGUCCUGCGCGCCGCCCGCGAACUGCUGCGGGGGGCGAAGGAAGGCGCGCUCUUGGCUCAAUUUGACUAUUGUUCUUUUCCCGGCUGGGUCCCUAAUGAGUAAGAUGAGCUUCCGGGUGUCGCUUGAAAUCCCUUGGGUCUGCCUGCAAAUACGGCCUGUGUUAGGUGCGGUGGCAUUCCGAAUCAACGCGCGUCGCAACCUGAUUCUGUCCGACAGCUCCAGACUCAUGUGUGGAAGAAGAAGAGGGAGCAAUGAUCCCAGAAUGUAGACACUGAGAAACUGAGGUCCAUAAUCACAGAGUGACUUCUCCAGACUUCAAGCUAAGCAGCAACUAUGAGUAUCCUUUUCACAGCUGAUUUCCGGUGACUGAUGGUUGCUUUGUACCCACAAAGACGUAUUAAAUAAAUGCUCUUGAGAAUGGAA